GUGCUCGCUUUGGCAGCACGUAUACUAAAACUGGAACGACACAGAGAAGAUUAGCGUGGCCCCCGCGCGAGAGUGACACGCGAAUUCGUGAAGCGUUCCGUGUUUUU
ensembl:snRNA U6 U6 spliceosomal RNA